rnacentral:lncRNA from 1 species
UCAAAACAAGGGUUUAUAACUUUUACAAAUUGCUAAAUUGGUGUCAUCAAUCAUUAACCUUCGGUUAUUUGCUUGUGAUUAGUAAGAAGCCUCGUUCUCUUUCUUUUAGUUUUAAUGAAUAUGAUCCUUAAUAUUGUUCCAGAUGCUUUAUCACAAAACCUUGACGAUGAUGAUCACGUUCUCGUUGGAUCUUUUAUUUGUGUUCUUUUUCAAAACUCUGAUGUUGAUGAUAACAUAC